AGCGAACGCUGGCGGCAGGCCUAAUACAUGCAAGUCGAACGGUUCCUUCGGGAACAGUGGCGGACGGGUGAGUAACACGUGGGAACGUGCCCUUUGGUACGGAACAACUGAGGGAAACUUCAGCUAAUACCCGUAUGUGCCCUUCGGGGGAAAGAUUUAUCGCCAUUGGAGCGGCCCGCGUUGGAUUAGGUAGUUGGUGAGGUAAAGGCUCACCAAGCCUACGAUCCAUAGCUGGUCUGAGAGGAUGAUCAGCCACACUGGGACUGAGACACGGCCCAGACUCCUACGGGAGGCAGCAGUAGGGAAUCUUGCGCAAUGGGCGAAAGCCUGACGCAGCCAUGCCGCGUGAAUGAUGAAGGUCUUAGGAUUGUAAAAUUCUUUCACCGGGGACGAUAAUGACGGUACCCGGAGAAGAAGCCCCGGCUAACUUCGUGCCAGCAGCCGCGGUAAGCAUACUCGUA
rnacentral:rRNA from 1 species